CCAUCGUGCAGUGCCAGUUCAUUCAGAAGCUGCGUCUAUGACAUCAUGUGCAAGCCAUCCUGAAGUGACCUUUUGUGUACCAUGCAACAACAAAAAAAGUGAGAGAUGUCAUGGAGACAAUGAAGGGUUUGACUGGCACUGUAGCUGGUAUCAUACCCCUCCAUCUGAUUUGAGGUAGCCAAAGAAGAAACUGUGCAAUGUUCCCACUGCGGGUGACUUUUGACAAUAUUUAUGUGCAUAUCUUCCAUGUUAAAAUUGUUUAAAACUGAGACGUGCUACGUUUUUAUAUCACCUGACGUUACCUUUUGUGUAGAGUUUGACCUCUACUAAUUGCCAUUAUCAUACCCCUCCAUCUGAUUUGAGGUAGUCAAAGAAGAAACUGCGCAAUGUUCCCACUGCGGGUGACUUUUGACAACAUUUAUGUGCAUAUUUUCCAUCUUAAAUUGUGUAAACUAAGACUUGUGUUGCCUUUU